AUGAGUGGAUCCAUUCAUCUAUUCCUCAUUCUGAGCAACCUGACAUGUCUGUGUCAGAGUGUAAAGAUAAUUCAGGAAAAACAAAUCCUAGUAGUCACUGCCGGAGAGAUAGUGGAGAUUCCCUGUGAGAAUGAUGAUACAUUUGGCAGCUUUGCUAUGCUCUGGUACCAACAGAAACCCGGACAAGGGUUGGUACUCAUGGGCAUGUCAUUGGGAUUAGGUGAUUUAACAAUGGAGAAGGGCUUUGAAAACUGGAUUUUUGAUAGAAAGAACUUAGAUAAGUCACUGCUGAUGCGUAAAAAUGCAAAAAGACAGGACGCUGGUGUUUAUUUCUGUGUAUCAAAUUUACACAACCACAUAAAGCUGAAGAGCAGCCAACACAAAACCUACAGCCAAAAAUAUAUUGUGCCGCUGCUCAGCUAG